CAUUUCUAACGUUUUGAACAUUUUCUAUUAGUAAGGAUAAGGAACAAGCUAAACGGUUGAGAUAUAACAAGACACUUCACAGAAUUUAGACUAGUUUAAAGAGAAAUUAAUUUAACUCUCGUAUUGCAGUGCCUGAGUCUGUCAAACUAGUCGACAAACAACGGAAUUUAUUUAUGUUGGAACGGUAAGAAGCCAAACGUAUUUUUAAAUAACAGAUUUAACAUCAGUAAUGGACAGCUCAUAGAUGGCUCGCAAUAUUUGAUUGCAAUAGUAAAUGUACAUGUACAUUGUUGCCAUUUUCAAUGUUCUUCGCGAGCAUAGAUUCCGAAUUAAAUGGAUAGCUCUGCACUCCCAACCUAAAAUAUUAUGCCAGCUCCACUUUAAGAAACAUGGCUGUCUGUGCUGACCAAUUUUUAUCCGAAAUGUUCAAACCAAGUCCUACAAAAAAUACGCAUAGAAGGAAAAAGGUUGAAAGGGAAUGCCGUACCAGAACCAUCAAAAUAUUUAUUAAAAAAUAAACAAGAAGAAGAAGAUAUACAAGAAAGACAGCUCGUAACAUU